AUUCACUUACUCACAAAUCCUCUUUACACAGGAAGCCCCAAGAGGGAGAUGUUGCAAAAGAAUCCAGUUACUGUUAUAUCUCAACCAUGUGGCUUCUUGAAUAAAACAACCAAAUAGACAAAAAGCAUUCCACAGAGUGGUCUUGUGAUAUUGGAGAUAUAUUCCUGAAAGUUCAGAAUUCCAAAAUGGUGCUGGACUAAGAUGGCUUCCUUUCCACUUCAGGUAAUGGCUUUCCUGAAGACUAUGGGCCUCUUUUCAUAUCUAUCAACUUUAAGCAUCAUCAUCAUCUCACCAAUCCUGUUUGGCUGAGAUGGGUGCAUACGCUGCAGUUGCCGUGAAUGCACCAAUCAAGAGGGGUUAAAGGUACACAGACCUGCACAGCUGACGACACAUUUUGGAAGGUGGCAACAAGCUUUGCCAAUGCAGCCAAAGAUCCUCGCACUGGUCCUGGUUGUUGUUGUUGUGCAGUAGCAGUGUACACCCAGUGUAGAGGAAAGGUUCGGCAGUGCAAUAUACAGUGAAGUGAGCACCAUUUUUAAUUUUCAUUUGAGUAAGUUAUUGUUUUUGCAGAUAUCUUAAUACAUUGACUAUGUCGUACAUGAAAAAAGAAUAGGCCUUCGCACAACAUGGUACGUUUCUCCUUUUGUUUCAGUGUGUCUAAUUAUUUAUCCUUUGUUUGCAUGUUAUUUUUGCAUCAUUUUUAAAGCACCCGGGGAUAAGAGCGCUAUGU